rnacentral:misc_RNA from 1 species
CACCACUCGAGUCUGACUCGGUAUUGGGCGCCGCGCAUUGCCGCGCGCCUCAAAGUCCCCGGCUGGGUGGGCCCGUCCCCGAGCGUUGUGGUCUCACAGUCUCGCUAGGGAGUACGCGCCCGCCGCAUCGGCCGCUAAACACCCCCAUCACA